UAGUGGUAGUAGUAGUAGUAGUAGUAGUAGUAGUAGUAGUAGUAGUUUGAAAUAUGGGGAGAAAAUACAUAAUAUCAAUUUUCUUAUAUAUUUUCAUACAAAUGUUUGAGGCAAUGUUUUAAAAUGAUGUCAGACGUUAGAUUAGAGGUUGUGUUAGAGGCAAUGUUUUAAAAUGAUGUCAGACGUUAGGUUAGAGGUUGUGUUUAGAGGCAAUGUUUUAAAAUGAUGUCAGACGUAAGGUUAGAGGUUGUGUUUAGAGGCAAUGUUUUAAAAUGAUGUCAGACGUAAGGUUAGAGGUUGUGUUUUGAGGCAAUGUUUUAAAAUGAUGUCAGACGUUAGGUUAGAGGUUGUGUUUAGAGGCAAUGUUUUAAAAUGAUGUCAGACGUAAGGUUAGAGGUUGUGUUUAGAGGCAAUGUUUUAAAAUGAUGUCAGACGUUAGGUUAGAGGUUGUGUUUAGAGGCAAUGCUUUAAAAUGAUGUCAGACGUUAGGUUAGAGGUUGUGUUUAGAGGCAAUGUUUUAAAAUGAUGUCAGACGUUAGGUUAGAGGUUGUGUUUAGAGGCAAUGUUUUAAAAUGAUGUCAGACGUUAGGUUAGAGGUUGUGUUUAGAGGCAAUGUUUUAAAAUGAUGUCAGACGUUAGGUUAGAGGUUGUGUUUUGAGGCAAUGUUUUAAAAUGAUGUCAGACGUUAGGUUAGAGGUUGUGUUUAGAGGCAAUGUUUUAAAAUGAUGUCAGACGUUAGGUUAGAGGUUGUGUUUUGAGGCAAUGUUUUAAAAUGAUGUCAGACGUUAGGUUAGAGGUUGUGUUUAGAGGCAAUGUUUUAAAAUGAUGUCAGACGUUAGGUUAGAGGUUGUGUUUAGAGGCAAUGUUUUAAAAUGAUGUCAGACGUUAGGUUAGAGGUUGUGUUUAGAGGCAAUGUUUUAAAAUGAUGUCAGACGUAAGGUUAGAGGUUGUGUUUAGAGGCAAUGUUUUAAAAUGAUGUCAGACGUAAGGUUAGAGGUUGUGUUUAGAGGCAAUGUUUUAAAAUGAUGUCAGACGUAAGGUUAGAGGUUGUGUUUAGAGGCAAUGUUUUAAAAUGAUGUCAGACGUAAGGUUAGAGGUUGUGUUUAGAGGCAAUGUUUUAAAAUGAUGUCAGACGUUAGAUUAGAGGUUGUGUUUAGAGGCAAUGUUUUAAAAUGAUGUCAGACGUAAGGUUAGAGGUUGUGUUUAGAGGCAAUGUUUUAAAAUGAUGUCAGACGUUAGAUUAGAGGUUGUGUUUAGAGGCAAUGUUUUAAAAUGAUGUCAGACGUUAGGUUAGAGGUUGUGUUUAGAGGCAAUGUUUUAAAAUGAUGUCAGACGUUAGGUUAGAGGUUGUGUUUAGAGGCAAUGUUUUAAAAUGAUGUCAGACGUUAGAUUAGAGGUUGUGUUUAGAGGCAAUGUUUUAAAAUGAUGUCAGACGUUAGGUUAGAGGUUGUGUUUAGAGGUUAUUUAUGUUAGACUUCAUGUUAGAGCAAAUAUUAAAGGUUGCGUUAGAGGUUUUGACAAGUAGAUUAGGUUUUAAAAUAGCUUAUAAUGCAUUAGUUAGUUAGUGUUAGUGUGUGUGUUAGUCUGUUCAUUCCCAGUGUUAGAGGUUAGGACAAGUAGAUUAGGUUUUAGUGUGUGUUAGUGUGUUCAUUCCCAGUGUUAGAGGUUAGGACAAGUAGAUUAGGUUUUAGUGUGUGUUAGUGUGUUCAUUCCCAGUGUUAGAGGUUAGGACAAGUAGAUUAGGUUUUAGUGUGUGUUAGUGUGUUCAUUCCCAGUGUUAGAGGUUAGGACAAGUAGAUUAGGUUUUAGUGUGUGUUAGUGUGUUCAUUUCCAGGCCAUUCCCAACACACUCGCUGGCUGUCCCACUCUAUGAUGCAAGAGUGCGUUGAGUGCUGUAAGUCUUUCACCAAAACAAGAAAGGCCAAGAAAAAGGAAGAUUAGAAAGAAGGAAAAAUGAAGAAAAUUUAAAACAUCAAAGAAAACAAAAGAAGAAAGGAAGAUUAAAAACAGGAGAAGCUGAGGAUAUGAAAACAAGAAUGAAGAAACUUAAAGAAAAACAAGGAAAAUCGCGACCAUCAGCAACACAAACACAACAAACAGGGUUAUAUACACGCCACAAACACAACAAACAGGGUUAUAUACACGCCACAAACACCACAAACACCAUCACAAGCAAUCUCUGGCGCAGGAUUGGUCAGUUUAAGCGAGGCAAAGCAAGGCAGGGCAAUGCAAGCGUUUGAUUGGCUGCCUGCGUGACCAAUCAAUC